UACGGGGGGUGCGAGCGUUGUCCGGAAUCACUGGGCGUAAAGGGCGCGUAGGUGGCUUUGUAAGUUUGCGGUGAAAGUUCGGGGCUCAACCCCGAAUCGGCCGUCGAUACUCCCGGGCUUGAGCACUGUAGAGGCUAAUGGAAUUCCGGGUGUAGCGGUGGAAUGCGUAGAGAUCCGGAAGAACACCGGUGGCGAAGGCGGUUAGCUGGGCAGUUGCUGACACUGAGGCGCGACAGCGUGGGGAGCAAACAGG
rnacentral:rRNA from 1 species